CGCCGGCCCCGAGCCGCCGCGGGCUCCGAGGAGUCGGCCGAGCUGCUCCCGCGCCCUGGCCGGCUGGGUCUUCAUCCUCAUUGUACUCCCUUGGCAUCUCAUGGUGACGUGACUUAGAAGGUGGUGCAGAGACGUUUGAAACUAUUGCUUUGCUGAAAACAUCUGACUGCCAGGCUAGGAUGUGACACUUAAGGGACUUACCAAUUUGGGAUUCUUCCAGGAGCUGAAAACUGAUUGCAAAUAUGAAACAGAUUUCACUACAGGACUUGAACCCUACAUUAAAAAACAACAAGCUCCCCAAAAUAAUUGAAAAAGAUCUUCACCAAAGAGUAGCUGCAAUGUGAAUGGCAGGAUAUGAAGCAAGUAAGAGCUUGAAAGUCACUUUUUGAUUUGUUCUACACACUUCGUCACGUGUUCACUGCACAGGAGAGGUCGACUGGCACUCUGCACUGAGCAGAAUCAUAUGUUACCCUCGCCCUGCCAUUUCCAUCAUUCCACUGUGCUCUCCCUGAACCAGCUACAUUCUAGAGGACCCUCUUUGUGUAACUGCAAGACCUGCAGGACUGUGCUCUCUUCCCAGAGUGACAAUGAUGGAGCCUGAAAUCAUAUCUUAUACUUAUUGGCAAUGUCAGCUAUGUGAUCCACGACAGACUAUAAACUCCACCCUACCCAGAGGUGGCAUUCUAUUUAAUGCAUUUGAUAGAACAAAUGCUAGCGGUAGUGACAAUUUUCUCAUUGAACUCAGAAAAUCUUUGUUAUUUCUAAAGUGUUUGGAAUGACAGAAAUAGGCAGAGACAGACAUUAAAUGUAAAGACAGUAAAUA
rnacentral:lncRNA from 1 species